GACGAACGCUGGCGGCGUGCUUAACACAUGCAAGUCGAGCGGAAAGGCCCCUUCGGGGGUACUCGAGCGGCGAACGGGUGAGUAACACGUGAGUAAUCUGCCCUUCACUUGGGGAUAACUACCGGAAACGGUGGCUAAUACCCGAUAUGACCAAUCACUGCAUGGUGUGUUGGUGGAAAGUUUUUUCGGUGGAGGAUGUGCUCGCGGCCUAUCAGCUUGUUGGUGGGGUAAUGGCCUACCAAGGCUUCGACGGGUAGCCGGCCUGAGAGGGUGACCGGCCACACUGGGACUGAGACACGGCCCAGACUCCUACGGGAGGCAGCAGUGGGGAAUAUUGGACAAUGGGCGAAAGCCUGAUCCAGCAACACCGCGUGAGGGAUGACGGCCUUCGGGUUGUAAACCUCUUUCAGCGGGGACGAAGCGCCGGUAAUGGUGGUGACGGUACCCGCAGAAGAAGCACCGGCCAACUACGUGCCAGCCGCCGCCGUAA
rnacentral:rRNA from 1 species